rnacentral:lncRNA from 1 species
AUAAAGUAGAUUUUUUGGCUGAAUGUCCUGCCGGUUGAGGAGAACAUUCGUCUGAAGUAUUUCCCUCAUCUCAUACUGCAAUAAACAUAGCAAAGCAAUAAAUUAGUAUCUUUUAUAUAUCAAAAUGUGUAGUGUAUUUUGAGCAUUACAAAUAUUAUUAAACAAUUAAAUUUAAAAAAAGAUGAGAUAAGAGAUAAUUUACAACCUUUUACAAUCAUCAUCCUUGUACAGAGAGUUGUUAAUUGAAAAAUAAUCAUAUAAACUACCUGGGCUAAUACCAAUAAUCAUAUAAACUACCAAGUGGGUUAAUACGAACUCCGUGAUCAAAAAAUUUUAAAUGACAAGAAUAGUAAGGCAAUAAUAAUCAGUUUCCUUAAAUAAGUAAACAUUUGUAUAAAUACCCAUUCAUACAAACAUAGUUGCACCUAUUAACAAGUAUGUAUGUUCAUAUAUAUAUACAUGAUACGUGCAUAAAUAGGUAUACACAUCGAUAUAUGCCUCCAUCCACAUACACAAAAUCUGAACGGAAUCCUAAAUACAAUCAGUAAAUAAAUACAAAUAUAACAUAAUGAUGGACUUUAUUAGAUCUGAAAUUAUGGAAACAACAAUAUUUCAAGCUCAAAAAUAUUACCAAAUAUUUAAGGGAAUACAGUGACAACUAUUGAUGCAACAUUAAUCUUGAUAUAGAUGGUUAAUAAUUUUUUUCCUAUUUAAACCUAACUCUAAAUUCAUUCACUUAUAAAUUAAACCCUAGAUCACUAUAAAUUAAACCUUGAUUAACAUAAAGAAAAAAAAAGGCAUUUAAUAGAAAAUUACAUGAUACAUAAUAUGAUGAAAAGUUAUGCUAGAUAAUUACAAUGAAGGAUUAAUAAAAUAUCACCUUGAUACACCUCUUAAGUCUCCUCCAAUGCCCAAACAAAUUUUCUAGUUCAAUGUGCCCAUCUAGUUAUUUGACUUUUUACUAACCAAUUUUUCCAAAUCUUUUACACUUGAUUUUGGUUCUAGACCUUUUACUAACCAAUUUUUCCAAAUCUUUUAUACUUGAUUUUGGUUUUACCAGGCAGAUCUAUAAGUAACCUUAAU